rnacentral:rRNA from 1 species
UACGGAGGGUGCAAGCGUUAUCCGGAUUCACUGGGUUUAAAGGGUGCGUAGGUGGGCUAGUAAGUCCGUGGUGAAAUCUCCAAGCUUAACUUGGAAACUGCCGUGGAUACUAUUAGUCUUGAAUAUUGUGGAGGUAAGCGGAAUAUGUCAUGUAGCGGUGAAAUGCUUAGAUAUGACAUAGAACACCGAUUGCGAAGGCAGCUAACGAAACUAUAACUGACACUGAGGCUCGAAAGUGCGGGGAUCAAACAGG